UGGGGAAUAUUGGACAAUGGGCGAAAGCCUGAUCCAGCCAUGCCGCGUGAGUGACGAAGGCCUUAGGGUUGUAAAGCUCUUUUGGCGGGGAAGAUAAUGACGGUACCCGCAGAAUAAGCUCCGGCUAACUUCGUGCCAGCAGCCGCGGUAAUACGAAGGGAGCUAGCGUUGUUCGGAAUCACUGGGCGUAAAGCGCACGUAGGCGGAUUGUUUAGUCAGGGGUGAAAUCCCGGAGCUCAACUUCGGAACUGCCUUUGAUACUGGCAAUCUCGAGUCCGAUAGAGGUGGGUGGAAUUCCUAGUGUAGAGGUGAAAUUCGUAGAUAUUAGGAAGAACACCGGUGGCGAAGGCGGCCCACUGGAUCGGUACUGACGCUGAGGUGCGAAAGCGUGGGGAGCAAACAGGAUUAGAUACCCCUGUAGUCCCUGAGCGGGCUGGCAAGGCGCAU
rnacentral:rRNA from 1 species